AAUGUUGUCGUUAUAGGGCUCCAACUUUCUUUUCAGACUUCGGCGACCCUGCAUACACAACACUAACAAACGGAUCAAACGCACCGGAGGGAAAAAUACCGAGUCAAAAAUAAAAACGCAAUUAAAAGGAAAAGAAACACAGAAAACAAAGUGACACAAUUAAAAACGCCUAAAAUCUUCCCCGGCAACGGCGCCAAAAUUUGACUCAACUCAAACACUAGUGAAUUGACUCGCAAUCGUACGAGGUCAAUUGCAGUGGGCAAGCUAACCCAAGUCGUCUCUCAAGGAAGAUUCAACAGGGCACCUAAUCGUGUCACACACAAAAAGCAAUAAAUCCUAAACACUCUAAUCAGAUUCACGCUGGCACACUCUUAAACUAAAACAGAAAUUAAAUAAGCUCUGUAAAUUUACCUAGGCAUGAAAUAAAUAAGCAUGUAAAAUUAUCUAAUGCAGAAUUUAUAGAAAGCAUAUAAAUUAUCUAGGCACAGAUUAAACGGCGUAAGAUUAUCUAAGGUUUUAAACUAAGAGCAUUAAUUCAAUCAUAAACCAU
rnacentral:lncRNA from 1 species